CCAAAGCAAAUCACGGAGCUGUGCCCAGUAUCGACAGGCUGAAGAAGAACACACCACUCCCAUUGGGUGAACACCGGAAAGUGAUGUGGCCAGAGAGUUUUCCUGAGCUGGGCUGUGUAGCUCUGGUCCCAGUCUACUUUGAAGAAAAACAAGGCGCACUGACCCAAUGUAACACAGUCUUGCAGAUCAGCUAAAGGACCGAUCAGCGCAGAGAAACAUAUUACAGAUAUAUCCACUCAACUGAAAGGAUGUGGAAAUAAACUUGAUGUACAGAAAGAAGGGUCACUUCAAUCUUGGUCCUUCUGCAAAGGAACCAGCAGAAGACAGUGGUGUACCCAGAAGUACGGGGACCCUCUCUGGGAAUCAAGCAAGAUCCAAACACACCGGGAGAAGAGCCUGGAAGGAGACCCGGCCAGAGGAACGUCUGCUCGAGCCCAUUCCACUCCCUCCCUGAAUGCUCCCUAGGUUUCCCACCAUCUCCCCACCCCCAACCCCAGCCUCUCUGCUUCUGCACCUCUAACAUUCAGAGUCGAGUGGAAAAGAAGCCUUUUUCUCAUUCCUUUCAGCACAGCUGAGACAGGCAGUAAUUUUCAGAAGGAACUUCAUUUGAAAUAGCACCACCACAGAAAACACGAAGGGAGAAUGAAAGGGAAAACAACAAAGAAAGCAGAGAAAGCUGUAAAACAAUUAUGCUUACAAAAUAUAGAUUUUGUGUCCAAUGACAGCCAACGUUCCUGCCAGACCCACAAACCGUUUCUUCAGCUCUUUGCUCUCUCUUUCUCUCCCCUGCCCCUUGAGAUCCUGAGCUCACAGAUGUGGGGGAAACUGUGAACAGUCAAUACUGCAAAUGCACCCCCCCCCACCGCCCCCCGCCGUGAUGAGGGCUGCAGCCUCUCCAGGGAGUCAACAUCUUCCAAAGAAACAUUCCUCCCCAGAGACACCCUCUGACUCCUUGUGGGGAUCCUGGUCCAAUUAAAGCCCCUGGGCAGACUGAAUAGAGGUCUGGUGUAAGUCUUGUCCCCACAGGGGGGAACACGAGAUCCAGCAUUCCAGACGUGUUUCUUGAAUGAUCCUCCCCUUCAACCUCCCUGUUCCCACCCAAAUUCAGACCUUUGCUACCUCUUGUUCAAACAAUUUUACUGGUCUGGUCUACAAAUGCUCUGACAUUUUCUCUUUUUGAAGUUUAGUUUGGACCUGAUCAUCUUUCUCCCACAGUCUACCAGAUUAAUUGAGAAUUUUUCCAAUUGAUGAUAAAUGCCAAUCCAACUCCUCAGCCAAAUAUUCCUUGUAAACAUCCUAUGCUUCUGUCAAGCCACAAGAACUAGACACAAUAUUUCUCAAAUGUGCCCCUGCCUUUGUUCCCACAUGUCCUUCCAUGAAGUAUUUCUUGUUUCUCCAAUUCAAUGGGUUGACAAUCCAAACUAUCCUUAUAAAGUCCAUCCUGGGGUGAUUCACUUGGUGAACUCUUCAUGUUUCUCUUGCACUUAUGUUACUCUGAUUUGUAUCAGAAAUAAUUGGAGAAGGAAAUGGCAACCCACUCCAGUACUCAUGCCUGGAAAAUUCCAUGGACAGAGGAGCCUGGUAGGCUACAGCCCAUAGGGUUGCAAAGAGUCAGAUAUGACUGAAGGACUUCCCUUUCCCUUUUCAGAAAUAAUAUUUUACUCUCAUUUACCUCACUCUCUUCCCCAGCUUGAACUAUAGAGUCAUUGAAGAAAGGAAUAAAAUACCUUAGGGGUCAGUGUGGAGAGCAAAAAAGAGACUCUGUAAAUUGCUAGUAUGGAUACUGGCCCACGGUAAGCUCCCCACAAGUGUCAUCAAGAUUUGGAGUAUGAUUCUGGAGUCAAAUGGAACUAGAUUUGGACCUUGACUCCACCACUGACUUGGUAACCUUGAGAAUUACUUACUCUCAUGGAACUUCAGUUCUUUCAUCUGUAAAAAGGGUUACUUACCAUUGUUCCUUCCUCAUGGGGUUGUAAGGGUAAAUUAGAUGACAGAUUAAACUUGAUCAUAGAUAUAAAAAUACUUAGCAAUCUCUUAACAAAAUUGUGCUAUUAUUAUGGGACUUGAGAAAAGUGCUUUGUCUACAAAGUCCUUAGGGAAAAUUUGGGUUGGCACUUCUGUGCCUCAGGUGCAAACACAUCGUACACUUGUGAAUCUGGAUUCUGGGUGGGGGUCCCUGCUCUCCCUCACAGCCCUCCUCCCUCCUUGGGGUAGGCACCUCCUCUUCCCACCCUGUGCUCUGUGACUUUGUCCCAGAUGGAUCCUGCUGGUUCUCAUGCUGGAUGGUAGCUGGCCUGCUGGAAGACCCCAUCAUCAUGUAGCCCUUCUCCAAUGUGCUCACUAUGGUUUUCUGGGGAGGAUGAGGUGAAAGAGUAUUAAGUUUUUUGGCCAUUUUGAAGACACCGCCAGGGAAGCUAUACUUCGGAACUUUGCAUGUAAGGAUGCUUGUGCACUUAUCUAUUUUAAACUUAUUCGUUAGACUUAAAUGGAAGACUGGUUAAUAUUGCUGAUAUGAGUAAAGGAAGGCUGUUUCCACUGUUAAUGUGAGAGUAUCCAUACAACUGGAUGCAACCAGGAAGACUCCAGAAACUGCCCUGCCCAGUUGCUUUGCAGGCUGGUCCUGAUUUCCAGUCCUGGAACAGCAGACGCACACUGCUUGUGGAUAUUAACCAGCCAUCCAAUUGAUAGUCUGAGUUUCCAUCUUUAUUCUGUGGCAAGUAGACACAAUGCAUUGCAGGAAGCCAAGCAAUUAUUUGCAAGUGGGUUAUAUGAUAUCAUCUCCAGCACUUCAACCAAGCUGAAAUCCAAUUCCAUCAGCUGGCUUGGAUUUGGAGGGGAAAUGAAAGUCACAUUUUGGAAGAAUGGGAUGGAUUCUGCGUGUUACAACUGAUACUUCUGCAAAAAAUAUCCAACCAAACACACAAGAAUUCAGUCAUAGAGACAUUCCCUGAUAUCCAGUCCUGUUUAUCAAUCCCCAAAAGUCACAGUUGAAUCCAUGGGUUUAGUAAACUUUUCAUAAAUUUGUAGUAAAUUUUGAUGA